UGUCCAGUAGCUCCUAUCCCUACUUUACCGUGGUGCCACCUGGGAUAUGAGUAACCUUAGGAAAGAUUGGGUAACCUACCCCGGUGGGACCUUGGUCGUAUGCUGACAGGGAAGG
rnacentral:ribozyme from 1 species